AGCGUGGAGACAGGUGGUGCAUGGCUGUCGUCAGCUCGUGUCGUGAGAUGUUGGGUUAAGUCCCGCAACGAGCGCAACCCUCACCCCUUGUUGCCACCAGGUCAGGCUGGGCACUCUAGGGGAACUGCCCCGGUCAACGGGGAGGAAGGUGGGGAUGACGUCAAGUCAUCAUGCCCCUUACGUCCUGGGCUACACACGUGCUACAAUGGCCGGUACAAAGGGAUGCAAGACUGCGAGGUGGAGCUAAACCCAAAAAGCCGGCCUAAGUUCAGAUUGGAGUCUGCAACUCGACUCCAUGAAGGAGGAAUCGCUAGUAAUCGCGCAUCAGCACGGCGCGGUGAAUACGUUCCCGGGCCUUGUACACACCGCCCGUCACACCACGAAAGCCAGCUGUACUCGAAGUCGCUGAG
rnacentral:rRNA from 1 species